AGGGGCACGCCUGUUUGAGUGUCGUGAACUCCUCCACCCUCUAUCUUUUUCGGAAGGCAUUGGGCUGGGAUUUGGGAGCUUGCGGGUCCCUGGCCGAUCCGCUCUCCUUGAAUACAUUAGUGAAGCCCUUGCGGCCUUGGUGUGAUAGUCAUCUACGCCUCGGCUUAGCGAACAUAUGUACCGGGACUCGCUUCCAACCGUCUCGCAAGAGACAACUACUACCAACUUGACCUCAAAUCAGGCGGGACUACCCGCUGAACUUAAGCAUAUCAAUAAGCGGAGGAAAAGAAACUAACAAGGAUUCCCCUAGUAACUGCGAGUGAAGCGGGAUGAGCUCAAAUUUAAAAUCUGGCGUCUUCGGCGUCCGAGUUGUAAUUUAGAGAAGCGUUUUCCGCGUCGGACCGUGUACAAGUCUCCUGGAACGGAGCGUCAUAGAGGGUGAGAAUCCCGUCUUUGACACGGACCCCCGAUGCUAUGUGAUACGCUCUCGAAGAGUCGAGUUGUUUGGGAAUGCAGCUCAAAAUGGGUGGUGAACUCCAUCUAAAGCUAAAUAUUGGCGAGAGACCGAUAGCGAACAAGUACCGUGAGGGAAAGAUGAAAAGCACUUUGGAAAGAGAGUGAAACAGUACGUGAAAUUGUUGAAAGGGAAACGCUUGAAGUCAGUCGCGUCCGCCGGGAUUCAGCCGCAAGGUGUACUUUCCGGUGGACGGGCCAGCAUCACUUUCGAUCAUCGGAAAAGGGCGUGAGGAAUGUGGCACCUUCGGG
rnacentral:rRNA from 1 species